GUGUCAGCCGCCGCGGUAAUACGGAGGGUGCGAGCGUUGUCCGGAAUCACUGGGCGUAAAGGGCGCGUAGGUGGCCUGUGGAAGUCUGCGGUGAAAGCCCGGCGCUCAACGCCGGGUCGGCCGUGGAUACUCUCGGGCUUGAGCUUACUAGAGGCAGAUGGAAUUCCGGGUGUAGCGGUGGAAUGCGUAGAGAUCCGGAAGAACACCGGUGGCGAAGGCGGUCUGCUGGGGUAAUGCUGACACUGAUGCGCGACAGCGUGGGGAGCAAACAGGAUUAGAAACCCGAGUAGUCC
rnacentral:rRNA from 1 species